AGAGUUUGAUCCUGGCUCAGGACGAACGCUGGCGGCGUGCCUAAUACAUGCAAGUCGAACGCUUUUUCUUUCACCGGAGCUUGCUCCACCGAAAGAAAAAGAGUGGCGAACGGGUGAGUAACACGUGGGUAACCUGCCCAUCAGAAGGGGAUAACACUUGGAAACAGGUGCUAAUACCGUAUAACAAGUAAAACCGCAUGGUUUUACUUUGAAAGGCGCUUUUGCGUCACUGAUGGAUGGACCCGCGGUGCAUUAGCUAGUUGGUGAGGUAACGGCUCACCAAGGCAACGAUGCAUAGCCGACCUGAGAGGGUGAUCGGCCACAUUGGGACUGAGACACGGCCCAAACUCCUACGGGAGGCAGCAGUAGGGAAUCUUCGGCAAUGGACGAAAGUCUGACCGAGCAACGCCGCGUGAGUGAAGAAGGUUUUCGGAUCGUAAAACUCUGUUGUUAGAGAAGAACAAGGAUGAGAGUAAAAUGUUCAUCCCUUGACGGUAUCUAACCAGAAAGCCACGGCUAACUACGUGCCAGCAGCCGCGGUAAUACGUAGGUGGCAAGCGUUGUCCGGAUUUAUUGGGCGUAAAGCGAGCGCAGGCGGUUUCUUAAGUCUGAUGUGAAAGCCCCCGGCUCAACCGGGGAGGGUCAUUGGAAACUGGGAAACUUGAGUGCAGAAGAGGAGAGUGGAAUUCCAUGUGUAGCGGUGAAAUGCGUAGAUAUAUGGAGGAACACCAGUGGCG
rnacentral:rRNA from 1 species